CCCAGCCAGUGCAAGGGAUGCAGCAGCAGAAGGCAGCCAGAGUGUGAAAAUAGCUCGGGUUUUCCUACAGCAAACUGCUUAUGAGCUCAACUGUCCUCUACACUGCACUCCAGGUCAUCUUGAUUGAUCAAGAGACCAUAAUUGGCAUUGGUGGCAAAAGCUGCUUCACAAGUGACUUUUUCACCCAACUGCUCACUCCCACCUCUUGCAUGGUCACCGGGCAAGUCAGAUCAGAGACACAAAUGAGGUCUGGGGAAAAGGACUGUUCCACAUCUCACACUGCAUAAACAAAUAUCCAUGGUGCCUAAGCCGGCAAAAUGGCCAAAAUACAAUGACAGAAUUGCUCAUCCUGAAGGAAAACAGCAUGACCAUGGAGAACUUCUGAUUUCCUCAGCUUUCAAUACUGUAAAGAGUUGUUUACGGAGUUUAGAGGCCUCCAGAAUCAGGUAACAAUUAUGGUUUUUAGUUACAGCUUUGGGUUGAACUAAGUUUAUUUUGCUCGUGUGUUUUAUUUAGGACUAAUUCCUGGCUCUCACCCGGACACACAGUGUGGUAUAUCAGACAGCACUGCAAGACAAAGAACACCCAAGAAAUGUCAUUAUGAUCUGUGUCUCACACCUGCAAAAAACAGAGCAUCACACUUAAGGCCUGAAUCAGAGCUGAGAACAAAACCUAAGUCCUUUCAUGGCCUGAACUGAGGAUCUGCGAGGCAGGCAUCUUGCCUCCCAGUGUGAUCCUCCAAAUGGCUGGAUUGUGCGUUUCCUAGGCAAAACGUUGCUGCGAAUUUCACUGCUAAAAAUAGAUGGACCUUAGAAGUUUUACCAGCCUCCCCAAAAGUACUAAAUUUUGACACAUCAAACUCUACGUAGGAAGCUGAAAAUGCUCAGUGUCUUUCCCCAUCAAUGCCUCAGCAGAAGCUACCAGGAACUAUAAUGUGAAAACCUCACCGUUCUUUGCAAAUUAGCUUCUGAAAUACAGGUUUAAUAAAUACAAUUUGUGUGUUUAAGCAACACCUUUGACUUGUGCUUUAAAAGGGAACAGUAACAUGAGUAAAUGCUCUAACUAGUACUGAUGAUUGCA